UCUGCCCAAGUCUCCCUCCUCAGCUGGAUGGAUGUAGCCUAUUACACUUAGCACAGUAUCUGGUUCUCUUAGGUUCAUGGUCAUCUCAAAUCUCUAACACUUCCCUUUACAUCAGCUACACAUCACAAUAUCCAUUGCCUCCUUGAGUGUUGGAGCCCACUAGGUUUCCUAGUGGCUGUACCCAGAAGGACUGUAUAAGAGGUUGAUUGGACCACAAACCUGGGUACCAGAUGUUUGUAAGGGUCUAACUAGCAAGAGGGAGGUCUUUUGCUCCACCCCUUGGCAUGGUUAUUAAUAGACCUUUGGAAUAAAGUUCUGGGCCAUUGGAUAAAGACCCAGGCCUACCCGAGUUUAUCCUGUGCUGUGGGAUGUUCUGUAUUCUGUGAAUGUGUUGCUCUGACUGGUUAACAAAUAAAGUGCUGAUUGGCCAGUAACCAGGAAGUAUAGGCAGGACAAGCAGAGAAGAGAAUGCUGGGAACAGGAAGGCUGAGUCAGGAGACACUACCAGCUGCCGCCAUGAGAAACAAGAUGUAACGAUACCGGAUUGCUGACAAAGUCCCAAAAACCUUCAGGGCCUCCUCAGCCUAGGAUCAUGAAUUUUUGUCAGGAUGAAUCAUCACUGCCAGCUGCCUAUAGACCUUCAGCUCAACACCUUCAACCUCACCACAGGAAAAUGGUUUAAAUCAUCCUCAGGAACCCCAGGCAUGGUCAAAAGUCAAGCCAUUUACUCCUCCACUAGCAGCAGCACCCACUUGCUACAGGCCGGAGAGGGCAACCGAAGCAGAAGUCGCUAGAAGAUCCAGCCCUUCCCUCCAACUAUGGCCAUUCUGGGAUUCCAGGGCUUCCCUGGCAGUUACCAGCAAAUGGAAAGAAAACAAGGGUCCCAUCCUCUGGGUACUCAGCCCAUUCUCUCAAGAUGUCCUGGUCCACGCCUGACUCUUCGAAAGGUGCUUUCCUGAUCAAGGUUGCCUCUGUCUCAAGGUGAUCCUGGACCACUUGGGGGACCACGGCUCAGAUCCAAAGCGUUGGCUAGGUGUGGGAUCUGUGUGUACUCAAAACCAGAGAGCUCACUAAGGCAGCAGGUACCUUUAGAAGAGGUCCCUGCUAAGUCCCUGAGUCCUGAGAAUUAAAGUAUCUCAAGGUCCACAGAGAGUCCCGAUGUCCUAAGAGGGGGACCACCACAGUGGGCUCCGUAAAAACUUCUUUCUCCUGGUGCUUCUGGGCCAUGGCCUUGGGUUUCCUGAGGACUUUGGGUCAAGGUCAUCAAGAAGAGCACUAUUAAGGAACAGCAACCAUAACUCCUCCCUCUUAAGCACCUACUCAAAGGUCAGACAAAGCCAAUAGUCACCCACCUCCCACUCACCCUCCUAAUGUCUUUUUUUUUUUAACUGAGACAGGGUCUCUCUCCCUCUCCCUCUCCCUCUUUUCUCUGGUGGGAAGAAAUCUCUUAAGCUAGCACACAAAAUUUUAACAGCUGUACUAAACCACUGCCACAUCAACUAACCCUGCAACCACAACAUCAACACACCUACAGGAAAAAAGAAAAUUAAAUCUCUGUAACACUUUGCAGACUCAAAACUAGCCGAACAACCUGCCCAAAUCCUAAACAGUGGUAUCUUCUAGAAGCGCUAUCAUCAUUUCUCAGUGAAGGACUAGCAGUGUUUCACUUGGAAACUUUACUGCAUAUAUUUUUUAGCCUAUCCCGAGGUUUUGAAUGAUAAUGGAUAAUAUAUUCCCUGAGGUUACUGGGGAGCCAGCAGAAACAACCUAACUUCUCAAUUCUAAAUACAUACAUAUCUUACUAUUAAAUACACAUAUAAAGCAUGUCCAUAUCUGAAAAACAAAGGGAAAAGGAGAGAAAGCAGAAACAGAGAGACAGUGCCCAAACAGUGAAAGUUUUCCCCGUUCUUCCCCUGAAAGGUAAAGGAACGAGCAGGACAAACUCUCAGUCUAAAUGAAGAGUGUGGGACCCCAUUCUGUGACAGAAUUCCCUGAGCACCACAAGCACCCCAGAGGCUGGUGGCAACACCUUGUGGAACCAAGUGUGUAAAGAACUUACAGACCAAACUCUGAUUUGCAUAUUACAUCCUUCUUUUCAUCUCGGCUGUCUGCUUACAUGUUUCUUAACUACUAUAGUGCUUAAUAACUCAACCCAAAAGUAUGCUUACAAUGAGAGUGGUUUUCAUUUUAAUCCAUCUUUAAGCAUACUGUGGUUUUUAACUUAUCCAAAGUAAAACUAAAUAUCAAAGCAAAUUCCACAGCAAUUCUGAAGAAAAAAAAAAAUCCAUCAGAACAACUUCUUUCUGAACCACAAGGCACUUCCUCGAGUCAGAGAGAAAAGGCCCCUUCUUAACAGCCCUCCUGGGGUAAGCUAGAUGUUACCAGGCUUCCAACUGAGCUAAGAACCCAGUUCUUUGUGGCACAAGUUUUUAAAGGAGCCCUGGAAAGAACUUCAAAGCUCUCUCAGAAGCUCACAGUGAUGUGAUUAGGACUCAGGGUCUCUCUCUUCCUAGGUAUAAGAAACUAAUUGGCAAAGCAAGCUUAGCUCUGAAAGGAUGGGUGGGCUGACAGACAUGGGAUGUAGGAGGAAGAUGGAGAAGGGGCAGGGAGAAGAAAGGGGGACAGAUAAGAAAAUAAGACAUUUGCAGGUACCUACCGUGUAUACAGAAAAUGCAGACAAGAGAUCCACAUUCUAUGAUGGCAUCUCACAACUGCAAAACUAAUUACACAUCUCAGCUCCAAGUGUGUGUAUCAUAAAGUUUUCACUGCCAAAGCUUUAAAAUGUAAGAAUACAAAGAAUACUAUUUCAAAAAAAAAAAAAAGCACCAAGUGCUAUUCCUUCACAAUCUAUUUCUGCAUUUCUUUUACUAUUUCAAAGAUAUUCUAAUAUAUAAUGAAAGUAGGACUCAGUUGCAUACUGUUUCCUAGCAUUCAACCCCAGACAGCCUCUUUCCUGGGCUUUCCUAUGGCAGUGUGUACACAAACCCAGACGGCCUCUUUCCUAUGGCAGUGUGCACAAAAACGUCCAACUUUGCUUCACCACAGCCUUUCCCCUAAAUCAAAUCACAUUUCUGGCUGCCUACUGACUGCCUCUACCAGUGCAUUGUUCAUUUUCUCUGUGAACUAAAACCAUAGUUACAAGUCUAUCCGUCCUCCUGGAAUAACAACAAUAAUGUUCUAUUUCAGUACUAAAAAUAAUGACUUUGAAGUUUGUAAAACUUCACUUUUAUAAAUUAUUUAUAAGCUAUUGAGGCUCUUGCUACUUAAUAUAACCUUAAUUUAAACUGAAAACACGUAAACAGCACUUAUUUGGGGCAAAAUUGGUGACUACAUUAACUCUUACAAAAUUCUAGGUAAGCACUGAACCAAUUUCUUUAAAAUAAAACUCAAAGGCAGCUUAUAGAGAAAUAAAAAAUAUCUACUUUCCUCAGUUUUAAAGUUGUACACACACACAUACACACACACACUUAUACACAUGCAUACUCACACCCACAAGAAAGCAAAAACAACUGCUUUUAAAACGUCCCUAGGCUUUGAAUAUUAAAGAACUAAAACUUGGUCAGGGAAUACAGCUCAGUGGUGAACACAGAUAAAGCCCUAGUUCAAUUCCUAGAUAGCAAAA